rnacentral:rRNA from 1 species
AAGCGAUAAGUGGAGCGGUGAAAGGCUCAGUAACGGGCGAUUUAUUUGAUCUCCUGGGACGGACAACAUCGGGAAACUGAUGGGAAAACGUCUAAGUUGCAGUUUAUUGAUUGUGACGUAAACCUUUGUGUGCAGGAGAGUAAGAUGCCAUCCUAUCAGUUAGUAAGUAGGGUAAGGGCCUACUUAGACGAAGACGGGUACGGGGAAUGAGGGUUUGAUUCCGGAGAAGGAGCCUGAGAGAUGGCUACCAGGACCAAGGUCAGCAGCAGGCGCGAAAAUUAUCGAAGCCCGCCUAGGGGCGAUAGUGAGGAGACGUGUAUACGAAGUACGUGUAAAGACCGUACUAAUAACUGGAGGUCAAGUCUGGUGCCAGCAGCCGCG